UAGAAAGAGAGAGAGAGAGAGGAAUGAGCCUCAGCUUCAGUUAUAGGCUAUAGCACAAAAAUACAGAAGAUUAAGUAAUCAAGGAACUCAUAGAUCAGACCACAGACCUCAUCUCUCGGUGUCGGUUGCCGUCCGACUCCGAUUGGGUGUCAUCUUGAGUUUGAUUACUUUCAAGUAGAAUUCACUUGGAAUUUGGAUUUGGAACUGCUAUGCGAUCUCUUUUCUGUUCUUUUCUUUCUGGAAUUGCAUUUAUGGCC
rnacentral:misc_RNA from 1 species